rnacentral:rRNA from 1 species
AAACGUAGGAGGCUAGCGUUAUCCGGAUUUAUUGGGCGUAAAGCGCGUGCAGGCGGUCUGGUAAGUUGGAUGUGAAAGCUCCUGGCUUAACUGGGAGAGGUCGUUCAAUACUGUCAGACUAGAGAAUGGGAGAGGGAGGUGGAAUUCCCGGUGUAGUGGUGAAAUGCGUAGAUAUCGGGAGGAACACCAGUGGCGAAAGCGGCCUCCUGGGUCGCACCUGACGCUCAGACGCGAAAGCUAGGGGAGC